rnacentral:piRNA from 1 species
UGUACUACAUUCAUUCAGCAGAUAUUGAU